rnacentral:rRNA from 1 species
UGGGGAAUCUUGCGCAAUGGGCGAAAGCCUGACGCAGCAACGCCGCGUGUGUGAUGAAGGUCUUCGGAUCGUAAAGCACUGUCGCGAGGGACGAAUAAGGGCCGGGUGAACAAUCCGGUCUGAUGACGGUACCUCGAGAGGAAGCACCGGCUAACUCUGUG